GAUCUACGUCGCAUAGUGGCCGAGUGCAUCCGCCUGAAAAGUGGACAGAGUGAAAGCUCUCGCAGGUUCGAAUCCUGUCGUAGCCGCCA
rnacentral:tRNA from 1 species